rnacentral:lncRNA from 1 species
CAGCAAUGAAAGGGUUGUUUCUUCUAAAGUCCAGCAUGCAAUGAUUUAGUCAAUUCAAAAAGAAUGGGACACUGGCUCUCUAUCUUUCCUCCAUUCGCCUUGACAACUAACAGCAAUGAUGGUGGAUUAAUCAACAGUGUCCUCUAAGCAGUGCUCCCACAGCACACAUAAAUUUGAAGUCUACAUAAGUCUUUCAGGAUGUAGAAGAGUCACAAGGAAUGAACUGGAUAUCUGUUGUGAGAAGGAGAAUGUUACCUGUGUCUUGCAGAAGCCAAACUCUUACCAAGCAGAAAAACCAGAAUCCCUCAGAUGGAAUUUCAUUAUUUGAUCACAUUUUAAAGUCCUAAAAUACCAUUUAUGGGUAAUAAAUGUGAAUUCAAUGCUAUAUUUUGAACUGAAUGCUCUUUUGAAUUAAAACACAAGGUAGGCUCUAAACAACAGGCACAGCAAAGGACUCUCGGAUGGUGACAUGGAUAAAUGCAUGAAAAGACAUGUUUUCCUAUCAAGGAGUUUCUAUUAUUAAAUUUGACCUAUCUAAAUUUUCUUCCAAAUCAUGUUUACAAAUCUUUUUCAAAGGCCACAAUUUCCAAGGCUAUAGUUGUUAGACAAAUAUCUUAUUGAUAAUUCUUCCCACUGUGAUUUGUAUGUAUCAUAGACACCACCACCAUUUUUUUCAUGAUAAUCAAUCCAUUUUAUUAGAUGGUGUGCUCCUCUAAUUUUUCCAUUUUCAUUGUCAACUGACCAAGAAAAGGUGCUUGUCAAACUCCUAGAUGCACACAAAUCCCCAUCCUCCUUGUUAAAAUGCAGAUGUGGACUCAGUGGGUCUGAGAUGGGCCUGAGAUUCUGCACGUCUAACAAGCUGCCAGGAGAUGCCCAGGCUGCUGGUCCACAGACCACACUUUCGGAAGUAAAGUUUAGAAAGCCAUGAGAAAAACAGGAAAAUUCAAAAUGCUAUUAGAGAUAGUGCUUGAUUUAAUUUGUUUCCCCCUUAAAACAUUUCCAGUGCCUUUUCUUCUUUACAAGCCUUUUUUUCUCAGAUAAAUGGAAGUAAUAUAUAAUACAGAUAUCACCUAGAAAUACUGAUUUUACAAAAGCUUUCAGUUAUCUGGAGGACUAAUCAUUUGGCAACAAAGUAACAAACAUAAAAAUAAAGGUGAUUCCACUCAAACUUCAUUUGGUGACUCGUGCAUGUAAUUUUGCAGUCACAUAUUUUCUGAAGUAACUCAACAUCUUCUUAUACAUCAACAUCUUCUUAUUUGUUUGACCUGGAGGAAAAUUAAUUUUAACAAUCAACAUUCUGAAGGAGUGUCCUUCCAAUGAAAGGUGACAAAGGCACAUGCACAGGGACUGUGAUGACGGCUGGGUAACCACACAAUGGGAUGCGGCUCGACACACUGGCAGUGGAAGGAGGGAGCAGAGGAGAGGACAGUGCUCACGUUCUCAGGCGGGGCGGCGUGUGGACGGUGGUGGCAUUUGCUGCAUGGUGGCCACAGAAGCAUCAUGGGAGAGAGAGCAAGUCAGGCCCUAAGGGGCUAAUAAGCUGCCUAUAGGGAGCUCUGAAGUAGAGAGCUGAACAUCCAUGUCAGGAGGCCAGGAGCGGGCUCUGCAGAUCAUCAGAAUUGGAACUGUGUCAUAACCUUUCUUAAACACACCCCUUUCUUUCAACUGAGGUAUGUUCUGGUCAUAAAGUUUUAAGCCAAGGUAAGUUGUAACACCAAUAUUCAGUCAGAUUAUACUCUCCUGAUACUCGUACCUUUAAUUUGUCUUUAGGUAGAGACUUCUCUCAUAUUUGGGAAGAAUAAAUAAGUUUGUAGUGAGAAUCUUAUCUUUUUAAGGCAAAAAUCUUUUUUUUAUUUGCUCUGUUUCCAUCAAUCCAACAAAUACUUAUUGAGCAUCUACUGAAUGUAUGGCUCUGCACUACCUUAUGUGGGGAAUAAAUUAUAUAACGGUCCUUCCCUAAAAGAGCUAACAGCUCCUAAGUUAAUUAAGAAGGACCAGAAGCAUCAAUGCCAGGCAGUGUGGUUUUAAAAACCUAUUCAGCAGGUGCAUACCAGCAGAGUGGGGACUGGUUUGUCAGCAAAGGCUCCUGUGCUGAGUGCCAAGAACACUUUCUGAAACCGGAUGCAAGACUCUGAACAAAUGUGAGCAUUCAUGCAUUUUUAAAAAGAAUCAAAUGCAUGAAUUUGGAAUCUCAUGGCAUUCCCAAAAAGAUCCACAGCACACAAAAAAGGUUAUGAAUCCUGUUUGAGUUAAGCAACUCUGAGUUAGAGAGAAAAAUUAUUUUGACUCUAGAAAUGGUUA